rnacentral:rRNA from 1 species
CGGCGCACGGGUGCGUAACGCGUAUGCAAUCUACCUUUUACAGCGGGAUAGCCCAGAGAAAUUUGGAUUAAUACCGCAUAGUAUGUUUGAAUGGCAUCAUUUAAACAUUAAAGUCACAACGGUAAAAGAUGAGCAUGCGUCCCAUUAGCUUGUUGGUAAGGUAACGGCUUACCAAGGCUACGAUGGGUAGGGGUCCUGAGAGGGAGAUCCCCCACACUGGUACUGAGACACGGACCAGACUCCUACGGGAGGCAGCAGUGAGGAAUAUUGGACAAUGGGCGCAAGCCUGAUCCAGCCAUGCCGCGUGCAGGAUGACGGUCCUAUGGAUUGUAAACUGCUUUUGCACAGGAAGAAACACUACCUCGUGAGGUAGCUUGACGGUACUGUGAGAAUAAGGAUCGGCUAACUCCGUGCCAGCAGCCGCGGUAAUACGGAGGAUCCAAGCGUUAUCCGGAAUCAUUGGGUUUAAAGGGUCCGUAGGCGGGCUCGUAAGUCAGUGGUGAAAGCCCAUCGCUCAACGAUGGAACGGCCAUUGAUAC